CCCCGGCAGGAGCCGGAGGAGCAGGUGGGGGCGACGGCCCCGCCUCCGCGUCCCGGCAGCCCCAGAGCUGGAGGCCGGGGAGUGAGCGGCGCUCACCGAGCGCAGCACCCAGCGCAGCUUGGCCCCAGCGGCGCCGCCUGGAGCACGGACGCUGCGGGACGGAGCCCGGAGCCUAGAGGCGGCGGCGGCGGCGGGGACGGGGACGUCGGCCAGAGACGAAUCCUGUCCUGUCCUCGGCACGGCCAGCGGCAGAGCAGAGACCAUUCUCCUGGGACCAUUCCUAAGAAAGAAACACCCACGCUGUGACAUAUGCCACUGCCACCGCCACUGCCACCUCUGCCUCCGCCUCCCCCCCCAUCAGCGCCCCCGGUAAGUACAGAUGCUUCCAGCUUGAGAAAGGCAGAUCCCAAAGGUCGGAGUGCACUGUUGGCUGAUAUCCAGCAAGGAACUCGCCUACGAAAAGUCACGCAGAUCAAUGACCGCAGUGCCCCGCAAAUCGAGAGUUCUAAAGGAACCAACAAAGAAGCAGGAGGGCCUGCAAACUCUCGAGGCGGGAGCACGCCCCCGGCCCUGGGAGAUCUGUUUGCUGGUGGCUUUCCAGUGUUACGACCAACAGGCCAGAGGGAUGCAGCAGGCGGCAAGACAGGGCAGGGCCCUGGCUCCCGAGCGCUUUCUCCCCGGCUUCCCACCAAAACUAUCAGCGGCCCGUUCAACCCCCCUGCAUCUCCCAGGCUAGGCGACGCCUCCGAGGCGCAUGGCGCGGCCGGGACGGUCCCGGUCCCUCUCCCUCCUCGCCCCAGCAUGCCCGCCCCACCUCCCCCGCCCUUACCCCCGGCCCUGCCCCCGCCCUCCCCCGCCAAAGCCCCGCUGGUGUCCCCACCUGGCCCACCGACCAAAGGGAGCCCCCCAGUGCUCGCACCCCCUCUGCCCUGUGCACCUCCGCCUCCACCCCCACCGCCCCCGGCCUUGGCUCCCAGUGACAAGGCGGUGAGGCCUCAGCUAGCCCGCUUGCACCUACCGCCCAUCCCGCCCCCUCUCCCUCUCCUCCCACCUUGCGGGUACCCUGGGCUCAGUGCAGAAGCUGCCAGCCCUGCCCAAGAUGUGCCGGAGCCUCCCGCCCCUCCGCCGCCGCCGCCGCCGCCCCCGCUCCCCGCUUACGCCCCACGCACCCCCAGAGCCUCUCUGCCUGCGCCCCCUUUCCCAGGCGCUAACGACAUUGGUGAAGUCCCACCCCCGCGGCCCCCCAAGUCCCCGUGCUUCCAGGCCCAGCUCCCCGAGCCCAGCGUGCAGGCCUUGCCGGUGCCGCCUGCCCUUCCGGGGUCUCAGACGUUCCCGCAGAAGAAGAGGCCCGGCCGAGGCCCCGCGAUCAGUGGGGGAAAGCUGAACCCGCCCCCAGCACCCCCUGCGAGGUCACCCACCACGGAGCUUUCAAGCAGAAGCCAGCAGGCCCCAGCCUGGACCCUGACCCAGCAGCCUGGAGGUCAGCUGCGGAACGGAAGCCUGCACAUCAUUGAUGACUUUGAGUCUAAAUUCACGUUCCAUUCUAUGGAAGAUUUUCCUCCUCCGGAUGAGUAUAAACCAUGCCAGAAGAUUUACCCCAGCAAGAUCCCCAGAAUUAUCCCUAAAGACACUCCGGUGAGAAGACAGAUGAAGCCAACGUCCUGUGAGCCACCUGGGGGUCUAUAUGGCGGGGUGGACAUCCCCAGGAGAAUGUCAGACCUCACCAUUCUCAAGUUGUAAUUCAGUUGACAUACAGGCUCUGCAUGGAGCGUUUAUUUAUUGUAAAUACGUGAUUUGCACAGGCUUUAAAUCAGUAUUAUAGUCGAUUUUUAUUUGAGUAAUUUAAAAAACACACACAUCAUCUCUCCAUUGUUUAAAGUGCGUCUUGGCAUUCAUCUGUCAGCACAGAUGAGAGCCCUCUCCCCACCACAGAGUGUCCAUUCCAUGACUGUAAAUACGCGUGCAGGCUGGCCCUCCCUAGAUUCGGAACCAUUUUUAGAAGAUUCCUUAGCUUCCCAAAGUCGUAGUAUCUACAGCAGCUUCUUAUUGGCAUGAUUUUCUAGUCUCAUCACACAAACUGCAAAAUCAAACCAGAUAAUGCCUUAUAAAUGACGCGGCUCACAGAGAGUAAUGUGUCACCACACCCAGACGAUGCCACACGGCCUCCAGUGAACGAGAUGCCACGUCUCGUUCCCGUCUUGCGGUACAGGGAUUCUUUUGCUGCCUAAUGUAAAUAUAACGCAAAUCAAAGGCAAGAGUGGGCUUGGCCUCUCCAAGGCCGACCACAGGGCCCCUUUUGUGUCUGAAUGAUCCUGCAAGUAGCCAAUGCUCUCACUGUUUACACUGCCCCUUGUGCCCAAGUCUGCAUGAUGUCCCUCCUGUCCCUCCAAGUCCCCUGCCUCAUCCUGGCAGACAAGGUGAGGUGAGCUGUAUGAGAUUUCAGUAUUUUCCCUGCAAGUUAGAAACCUGUGUAAGUCAUCAUGAGUAAAUUCCUAAUUCUGUCUCAGAGCUCUUUUUUUUUUCCUCCCCCGAGUGCAGUGUUUUCGUGAAAAACAUGACAUGGAAAAGUAUAGACUGAAAUGUAUUCUGAAAUAUCUGCCUCAAAUAUCAGUGCCCCACGCCCACCCUUAGGGAACCUGGAGCCACCCAUCAGGCAAAUCCUAGCUGCCUUCUGAGCCCAAGAGAACCUAAUUGGUCUGAGAGUCCCCCAGUCCCUGUGGUGGCACCUCUCUAGGUGGGGAGAAGUGUGUGAGUUCAGCCAGCCCUGACUAUGGACCGGCUCAGGACUGGCCACUGUGACCUGUGACCGCUCCUCUCACACCCUUUUUCUGAAGCUGGCAAGGGAAUGGCAGCGUGUCUUUGCUUGCUGCAUGACCCCAUCCUUGGUGGAAAAGCUGUGACAGAGGAAGGAGAGAAAAUAGGAGGAAACAGACUGAUCCCUUCGUCUGUGCUCAAAAUAGCUGCUGAUUAAAGGAAAUCAGGGAGGCAGAAGUGGGAAGACCAGUGAAAAAUAAGUUUCCUUUGAAAUAGCCCACUCAUGCACUCACAGCUCAAGGGUGUAAUGCCCGGAACACGCCAUCCACGAAAGACGGAAGCCACUGAGCAAGGUCAAGUUCCCUCCCCUGGGGAAUAAAUCAUGCCAAGUUGUAACAGCUAAAUCAAUGGAAAAGAAGCUUUUGCAAGUCAUCAGCUAUGGGCAUACCUGAUUUGUUUUUUUUGGUUCUGCAAGGUUUCCAGAAGAGGCACAGAUAAGCUUUUUCAUGACCAAAAGGGCCCAACUGAGUGGAGAAAAAAAGCAAUGGCCCAAGAUAAUCGACAAAGUGGAGGAUGGACUUUAAAGCCAUUGACUGUAGAGAGAGUCCACCAUGCUGGAUGUAAGAAAAUAAGCUCACCCAGUCCACGCAAAAUGCACGCACCAAUUUACCUAUAAGAUGUCACUUUCUUCAGGACAAAUUGGACCCUUACAAGUUGUUAAAUAAAUGCUUGGGAAGCAGAUGAGCAUCUAACAACCAUGUUCCCUCCUUCUCCCUUCAGCAAGAUAGAGCCUUGGAUUUUAUAUGAAAGUCCACCACUAAGAGUUGCUGUGGGCAUAUAUUGAGUGUUUGUCUUGUUUGAAUUGAUGUCUUGUAACUUUAUUAAUCAGAACUUUGGGUGGAGAAGGGAGGGCUGCACUUUGCAGAAUAACUAUUUUAAAACUAAACUUAAAAAAAAACUUUUUUGUAUGAAAAAAUAUACAUAACAAAAUUUACCAUUUUAACCACUUUUAAGUGUACAGUUCAGUGGCAUAAAGACAUUCAUAUUGCUGUGCAACCAUCACCACCAACCGUCUCCAGAACUUUGUUAAAAAACAACACGAUUGCAUCUUUAAAGUGCUGCCGUUACGUACACAUUUUUACCCCUAAAAGUAUACAAAGAAUUUUCGACAACAGAAAAGCCGUUCUCCUGACUAGUACUGCACGUUUCUGUUAUUUGCAGGUGAACAGUAAGUAAAAGAGGGAGAUUCUUAGCCCACUGAGUUCUAGAAUAACAUUAAAAGCAGAGGCUUGGUUUCACUGGGUUUCAAGAGGCUGGGAGGAACAAUUACCACCAGCGUCCUAGCAGGGGCCCCGGGAGCCUGGGUUUCUGGAAGCAGAAUUGCUGGA